rnacentral:rRNA from 1 species
ACCUUCGGGUGGAGCGAUAACGGCGUCGAGCGGCGGACGGGUGAGUAAUGCCUAGGAAAUUGCCCUGAUGUGGGGGAUAACCAUUGGAAACGAUGGCUAAUACCGCAUGAUGCCUACGGGCCAAAGAGGGGGACCUUCGGGCCUCUCGCGUCAGGAUAUGCCUAGGUGGGAUUAGCUAGUUGGUGAGGUAAGGGCUCACCAAGGCGACGAUCCCUAGCUGGUCUGAGAGGAUGAUCAGCCACACUGGAACUGAGACACGGUCCAGACUCCUACGGGAGGCAGCAGUGGGGAAUAUUGCACAAUGGGCGCAAGCCUGAUGCAGCCAUGCCGCGUGUGUGAAGAAGGCCUUCGGGUUGUAAAGCACUUUCAGUCGUGAGGAAGGUAGUGUAGUUAAUAGCUGCAUUAUUUGACGUUAGCGACAGAAGAAGCACCGGCUAACUCCGUGCCAGCAGCCGCGGUAAUACGGAGGGUGCGAGCGUUAAUCGGAAUUACUGGGCGUAAAGCGCAUGCAGGUGGUUUGUUAAGUCAGAUGUGAAAGCCCGGGGCUCAACCUCGGAAUAGCAUUUGAAACUGGCAGACUAGAGUACUGUAGAGGGGGG